GGUGGAUCCAUUGCAAAGUUGCAUGGAAACAGCAAAUGGAUCCAUUGCAAAGUUGCGUGGAGAGGAGAGGUGGAUGCAUUGCAGAGGUGCAUGGAAAUGAGAGGCGGACGCAUUGCAAAGCUGCAUGGAGAUGGGAGGUAGAUUCACUGCAGAGUUGCAUGGAAAUGGAAGGUGGAUGCAUUGCAGAGUUGCAUGAAGACAGGAGUUGGGUUCAGUGCAAAGCUGCGUGGAGAGCAGAGGUGGAUGCAUUGCAGAGGUGCGUGGAAAUGGGUGGUAGAUCCAUUGCAGGGCUGCAUGGAAAUGGGUGGUAGAUCCAUCGCAGGGCUGCACGGAGAUGGGAUGCGGAUGCAUUGCAGAGUCGCAUGGAAAGAGGAGGUGGAUGCAUUGCAGAGUUGCACGGAG
ensembl:lncRNA